rnacentral:rRNA from 1 species
ACUCCUACGGGAGGCAGCAGUGGGGAAUUUUGGACAAUGGGCGCAAGCCUGAUCCAGCCAUGCCGCGUGCAGGAUGAAGGCCCUCGGGUUGUAAACUGCUUUUGUACGGAACGAAAAGCCUCUCUCUAAUAAAGGGAGGUGAUGACGGUACCGUAAGAAUAAGCACCGGCUAACUACGUGCCAGCAGCCGCGGUAAUACGUAGGGUGCAAGCGUUAAUCGGAAUUACUGGGCGUAAAGCGUGCGCAGGCGGUCUUGCAAGACAGUGGUGAAAUCCCCGGGCUCAACCUGGGAACUGCCAUUGUGACUGCAAGGCUGGAGUACGGCAGAGGGGGGUGGAAUUCCGCGUGUAGCAGUGAAAUGCGUAGAUAUGCGGAGGAACACCGAUGGCGAAGGCAGCCCCCUGGGCCUGUACUGACGCUCAUGCACGAAAGCGUGGGGAGCAAACAGGAUUAGAUACCCUGGUAGUCCACGCCCUAAACGAUGUCAACUGGUUGUUGGGGAUUCAUUUCUUCAGUAACGAAGCUAACGCGUGAAGUUGACCGCCUGGGGAGUACGGCCGCAAGGUUAAAACUCACAGGAAUUGACGGGGACCCGCACAAGCGGUGGAUGAUGUGGUUUAAUUCGAUGCAACGCGAAAAACCUUACCCACCUUUGACAUGGCAUGAACCCUUUAUAGAUACAUGGGUGCUCUAAACACAACCUGCAACAGCUGCUGCAU